CCUACGGUAGGCAGCAGUGGGGAAUAUUGGACAAUGGGGGGAACCCUGAUCCAGCGACGCCGCGUGAGUGAAGAAGUAUUUCGGUAUGUAAAGCUCUAUCAGCAGGGAAGAAAGAAAUGACGGUACCUGACUAAGAAGCCCCGGCUAACUACGUGCCAGCAGCCGCGGUAAUACGUAGGGGGCAAGCGUUAUCCGGAUUUACUGGGUGUAAAGGGAGCGUAGACGGCGAUGCAAGUCUGAAGUGAAAGGCGGGGGCCCAACCCCUGGACUGCUUUGGAAACUGUAUGGCUGGAGUGCAGGAGAGGUAAGUGGAAUUCCUAGUGUAGCGGUGAAAUGCGUAGAUAUUAGGAGGAACACCAGUGGCGAAGGCGGCUUACUGGACUGUAACUGACGUUGAGGCUCGAAAGCGUGGGGAGCAAACAGGAUUAGAUACCCUUGUAGUC
rnacentral:rRNA from 1 species